AAGUCGUAACAAGGUUUCCGUAGGUGAACCUGCGGAAGGAUCAUUAAUGAGUUGUAACGGGGUUUUUGAUGCUGGCAGCCAAUUUUUGGAUGCAUGUGCUCGCCCUAACAAUCAUCUUCCAAACACCCGUGCACACUUUUGAGGGAAUUUCGAGUUGAUUGCCACUUUUGGGUGAUUAUCUUUCAUUCCCUUAAAUUUACUAUACACUAUCAGCAAUGUUGAACGUGAUUUGUGCCGCAAUGGCCAUUAAUACAAAUAUAACUUUUAACAACGGAUCUCUUGGCUCUC
rnacentral:misc_RNA from 1 species